GAUGUAGUUCGGCCCCGGCGGGGCUGCUCCGGGGGGGAUAGAGCCGCUGGGGAUGCCCCGGGGCGCGUGAGGAUGCGGUUCUGGAUCUCUGGAAUUUAAAGCUGGUCACAUGUUUUCUGCAAAGCCUCACACCUAACUUUGGCCUAUGAGGGGUUAAUGCAGUAGCUGAGUGAUGGCUGUGCUGGCUGGACAGCCUCCCUUCUGCCCUUGCUGCUUCCCCAGCGUUGAAAAAAAGCUGCCUCAGCAACAGAGACAUCCUAAAGAGCUGUUGUGGAGCCUGCUCUUGGAUGGUCUGACAAAGCACAGCAGGCAGCAGAAGCUGAUGGAGAACUGAAUGCUGAAGGCAACCUUGUACUAGAUGCUGGAUGUCAGAAAUCCACAGAGAUAAUACAGAAUAACAGAGGCCUUGGGAAAGGAGGAGGAGGUGGAGAACUGAGAGAGACAGUGUGAUUUGCCUGCACAAAGGAAAAUACUUGAUGA